AGCUGAUCGAGGUGGUGGCCUUUCAUUCCCCACACCAUAAAGCCCUUCAUCCCUCAGGUCCUGUUUCUUGGGAUUUCUUCAUCUCAAGGAGAGCAGCUGAAGACAUUUGCUCAAAUCUGCCUUGCUUAAUCCCUGUUUGGCACAACUGAGAUAUCCAGUGACAUUUCCACCUCCCUGCAGAACUGGAAUGCUAAAGAUCUGGAUGGCUGGACUCAUACAGGAGGUGAUAUAUAAAUAAAUCUGAGAACUGGAGAUGAUGAUGCCAGACAGAAUAUUAAUAAAAUCUCCUUACUCCUGCUUCUACCAUAUCUCUGGAGGUAAAGAAGAGAAUUUAGCUGCGUACCAGUUGCACACAAACUACUCCCUACUGCCAAAUGUUACAGACAAGAAGUUGCCAGGAAAGCAGUGCAUCUCAAGAAUGGCGAUGCUGAUGGCUCGUUGCAGACUGGAGAAGGCUCCCGGCAUGGCAGCUGUCUGGACAAACUGCAGGAGCAGGUGCCAGAAGUAGCGAGUAUUUAAAUAUAUGUCCAACGUGGAGCAGGAAAUUGAAAAUUGAUUCUCUACAGCAUUUAUCUGAGAUGUGGUUCAAGUUCUUCAAGUUAGCCAAAGCAAAGAGCUUCUACUCUCAGUGGAAUGCCAGCUUGGCAGACAGUCUGGAGUUGAUUCGGUGGCAUCUUUGAAGAGAAAUUCAGAAAUUGUGUAUUUUUUAAACAAGUUUCCUAAAUAAGCAUGGAAGGUAAAAAAGACUCCAAGAAGGAUUUUUAAUUACCUAUGUAAUGUUCAGGCACCUUUUAGUGGAGACAGAGGUGAUGAGCUGGCAAAUAUGAUUGAUGAUCAGAUUACAACUCCUAAUGAUUUUCUUUAGCUGUGCUGUGGAGUGACUGCAGGCUCUGACACAGAUCAGCCUUCUCGUGCUAGCUCUCAUACACGUAGACAUAAAGGAGGUGGCUUCUGCCCAAAGCAUUAACCCACAGACUGCAAUAGCAGCAAGCCUGGAGAGGACCAAAAGCUAAGAAGACAAAAGGUGACAGCCCGUUGCUGGAGCCUGAAUAUCCUCUGACACAGACGCCUGGUGUGUGGGUGGCUGUUCCCACAAGCACACAUUCGCUGCACACUGGUGGCUCAGCCUCUGCCAUGGAAGUGCAUUUACUCUCCUUCAGCUUUCCAACCAGUUCCCAAGGUUGCUGAGUACAGCUGCAGCACACGAGUGCACUCCAGGAAAGCUAAGUGCCUACUGUGAAAGUAAGUGGCAAGACAUAAAGUCAUAUUUUCACUAAUGUUUCCAUGAAUUUGAUAUAGUAACAGGGGUGUACUGAUUUGAAACGGUAACCUUUGUCACUCUGAGUCCUCUAUAAACGAGUGGUUAAAAUGGCACUUGAGUGUUACACAGUUUAGUGAUGCUUUUCUCAGCAAAAUCAAUGAAACUGGUCUUGGGUAAAAUGUUUGCAAGAAUAUAAAAGUGACUUAGACAAUUCCAUGCCUAAGCUUGAGUUUGGUAGAGCAGCACC
rnacentral:lncRNA from 1 species